CCUCACUCUCCCGGCUUCACCUUCAGCCUCCCAGUGUUCGGCGAAUGAAGCCUAUGUCUCCAGACCCUAUAUCCAUCCUGUUACUGCAAACAAGGGAUCGUGGGUUAUACCCUCCCAGAACGUAAACUCCGUGAAGGAAGAACAUUUCUCUGCUUUGCUCAUUGCUGAGAUCCCAGGGUCUAGAUGCAUGCUGGCCACACAGAAGGGCCAGAGCACAAGCAAUACAAACUGAGGAAAUAGCAAAUGCACCUAGUGCUUAUUCAACCAAAUGUGACAAAUAUGAAAGGCAAUUUGUGUACUCAAAUUAAAACUGACUAAAGUUACUCUGCUUUGGAUUAUCUUGGGUUGUAAGAACCACAGACGAAAGCACACACCCACCAAAACAGCUGGUGUCAAAAAGACGAGCAAUACCCAGUGUUGGCAAGGACGUGACACAAUUGGAACGCUCAGGCAUCGUUGAUGGGAGUGUCCGUCGGUCCAGUCAUUUUGGAAACCUGCUUGUAUCGACUUAGAGCUGCAUAGAUGCCGCCCCUGACCCAGCAAACACACUCACAGAUUUGUACCCAAGGGAAAUGAGAGUCUAUGCCCACGAAGAGACAUGUGCCGGAACAUUCCCUGCAGCUUAUCCCAGCAGGCAGACGCUGGAAACCACACAAGUGUCAGUCAAUGUGGCAAUAGUAGCAUGGGAUUCAUGCGGUGGAAUGCUGCCCAGCGGUGAAAGAGAAUGAACUACACUCUGGUGUGGCAACAUGGACAAAUCUCACGGAUGGAAUGAGGGAAUGAAGCCAGACAAAGACAUAGGGUACUUUUGCUAUGGUUCCUUUUGUAUGAAGUUCAAGAACAGUCAAAAUUACUUUUCGGUGACAGAGGUCAGAGCAGUGGUGAUCUGAACAGGAUGGGUCAGUACGGAUUGUCAGGGAACACAGCGGAACCUUCUGAGGUGUUGGAAAUGUUCCAUAGAUCUAGGUCAUGGUGCCCAGAUAUAUUCACACGCAAACAUUCAUCAGCUUGUACACUUGUCAUUUGCUCAUUGUUGUGUAUGUUAUACCGCAAUUUAAAAUUUAAAAAAACAACAACACAGUUGUAGACU